AUUGAACGCUGGCGGCAGGCCUAACACAUGCAAGUCGAGCGGAGCGGCGGACGGGUGAGUAAUGCCUAGGAAUCUGCCUGUGAGUGGGGGAUACCGUCCGGAAGCGGGCGCUAAUACCGCAUACUAUCAGAUGAGCCUCGGGCGGAUUAGCUAGUUGGUGGGGUAAAGGCCUACCAAGGCGACGAUCCGUAGCUGGUCUGAGAGGAUGAUCAGUCACACUGGAACUGAGACACGGUCCAGACUCCUACGGGAGGCAGCAGUGGGGAAUAUUGGACAAUGGGCGAAAGCCUGAUCGAGCCAUGCCGCGUGUGUGAAGAAGGUCUUCGGAUUGUAAAGCACUUUAAGUUGGGAGGCGUUACCAACAGAAUAAGCACCGGCUAACUUCGUGCCAGCAGCCGCGGUAAUUC
rnacentral:rRNA from 1 species